UGAGGAAUAUUGGUCAAUGGGGGCAACCCUGAACCAGCCAAGUCGCGUGAAGGAUGAAGGUCUUAUGGAUUGUAAACUUCUUUUAUACAGGAAUAAAUUGGGGGACGUGUCCCCUUUUGCAUGUACUGUAUGAAUAAGGAUCGGCUAACUCCGUGCCAGCAGCCGCGGUAAUACGGAGGAUCCGAGCGUUAUCCGGAUUUAUUGGGUUUAAAGGGUGCGCAGGCGGGAUGUUAAGUCGGCGGUGAAAUUUUGCAGCUCAACUGUAAAAGUGCCUUCGNUACUGGCUUCCUUGAGUGUAGGUGAAGUAGGCGGAAUUUGUGGGGUAGCGGUGAAAUGCUUAGAUAUCACGAGGAACUCCGAUUGCGCAGGCAGCUUACUAAACUACAACUGACGCUCAUGC
rnacentral:rRNA from 1 species